rnacentral:rRNA from 1 species
CAGCACCUCAAGUGGUCAGGAUGAUUAUUGGGCCUAAAGCAUCCGUAGCCGGCUCUGUAAGUUUUCGAUUAAAUCUGUACGCUCAACGUACAGGCUGCCGGGAAUACUGCAGAGCUAGGGAGUGGGAGAGGUAGACGGUACUCGGUAGGAAGGGGUAAAAUCCUUUGAUCUAUUGAUGACCACCUGUGGCGAAGGCGGUCUACCAGAACACGUCCGACGGUGAGGGAUGAAAGCUGGGGGAGCAAACCGGAUUAGAUACCCGAGUAGUCC